rnacentral:other from 1 species
GUGUCCCUGCGGUGCGCGUGAUUCGAGUGGAGUAUCUUGAGCCAUUAGCACUAAAAUCGGGGGCCUGACUUCACAUCCACUUCGGUGUUUGUGAGAGGGCACCCACCUGUAAAUAACAGGAUCAAGAUAGUUCAAUCUCACACGGCACCUGCGGGGAUUUU